AUGGGGCAAAUAAUAUACCGUUGCCUCGUGUCUCAAAUGAUCUUAGAGAAGAGAUUUAGCCAGUCAGCAGCAUUUGUUGCCUUCACUCUGAUGGAAUAUGGUGGUGUUCCUCGGUACUCCACUCCAGAAUCUCUUUUGAAAAAAGCUCUCCAUGUCAUAGGUUGUGGCUACGAGGACAAGUCUGAAGGGGAACGAAGGUAG
rnacentral:rRNA from 1 species